rnacentral:rRNA from 1 species
UAUAUGACUCUCGACAAUAGAUAUCUCGGCUCUCACAUCGAUGGAGAAUGUAGCGAAAUGUGAUAUUUGGUGUGAAUUGCAGAAUCCCGUGGACCAUCGAGUCUUUGAAUGAAAGUUGUGCUCGAGGCCUUUCGGUUGAGGGCACGCCUGCCUGGGCAUCACGC